GAUGAACGCUGGCGGCGUGCCUAAUACAUGCAAGUCGAGCGAACAGACGAGGAGUUUGCUCCUCUGACGUUAGCGGCGGACGGGGGAGUAACACGUGGAUAACCUACCUAUAAGACUGGGAUAACUUCGGGAAACCGGAGUUAAUAGCGGAUAAUAUAUUGAACCGCAUGGUUUAAUAGUGAAAGACGGUUUUGCUGGCACUUAUAGUUGGAUCCGCGCCGCAUUAGCUAGUUGGUAAGGUAACGGCUUACCAAGGCAACGAUGCGUAGCCGACCUGAGAGGGUGAUCGGCCACACUGGAACUGAGACACGGUCCAGACGCCUACGGGAGGCAGCAGUAGGGAAUCUUACGCAAUGGGCGGAAGCCUGACGGAGCAACGCCGCGUGAGUGAUGAAGGUCUUCGGAUCGUAAAACUCUGUUAUUAGGGAAGAACAAAUGUGUAAGUAACUAUGCACGUCUUGACGGUACCUAAUCAGAAAGCCACGGCUAACUACGUG
rnacentral:rRNA from 1 species